rnacentral:rRNA from 1 species
GACGAACGCUGGCGGCGUGCUUAACACAUGCAAGUCGAGCGGUAAGGCCCUUUCGGGGGUACACGAGCGGCGAACGGGUGAGUAACACGUGGGUGACCUGCCCUCAGCUCUGGGAUAAGCCCGGGAAACUGGGUCUAAUGCCGGAUAUGACUCCAUGACGCAUGUUGUGGGGUGGAAAGCCUUGUGCGGCUAGGGAUGGGCCCGCGGCCUAUCAGCUUGUUGGUGGGGUGAUGGCCACCAAGGCGACGACGGGUAGCCGGCCUGAGAGGGCGACCGGCCACACUGGGACUGAGACACGGCCCAGACUCCUACGGGAGGCAGCAGUGGGGAAUCUUGCGCAAUGGGCGAAAGCCUGACGCAGCGACGCCGCGUGAGGGAUGACGGCC